AACGAACGCUGGCGGCAGGCCUAACACAUGCAAGUCGAACGCCGUAGCAAUACGGAGUGGCAGACGGGUGAGUAACGCGUGGGAACCUUCCCUAUGGUUCGGAAUAGCUCAGGGAAACCUGGGGUAAUACCGGAUAAGCCCUCCGGGGGAAAGAUUUAUCGCCAUUGGAUGGGCCCGCGUCGGAUUAGCUAGUUGGUGAGGUAACGGCUCACCAAGGCGACGAUCCGUAGCUGGUCUGAGAGGAUGAUCAGCCACACUGGGACUGAGACACGGCCCAGACUCCUACGGGAGGCAGCAGUGGGGAAUAUUGGACAAUGGGGGCAACCCUGAUCCAGCAAUGCCGCGUGGGUGAUGAAGGCCUUCGGGUUGUAAAGCCCUUUCGGCGGGGACGAUGAUGACGGUACCCGCAGAAGAAGCCCCGGCUAACUUCGUGCCAGCCGCCGCGGUAAGAC
rnacentral:rRNA from 1 species